UACGAAGGGUGCAAGCGUUUUUCGGAAUUACUGGGUGUAAAGGGUUCGUAGGCGGGAAGAUAAGUUGAGUGUGAAAACCCUGGGCUUAACCUGGGACGUGCACUCAAAACUGUCUUUCUUGAGUAUCGGAGAGGGUGGUGGAAUUGCUGGUGUAGGAGUGACAUCCGUAGAGAUCAGCAGGAACGCCAGAGGCGAAAGCGACCGCCUGGCCGAAUACUGACGCUGAGGAACGAAAGCGUGGGGAGCAAACAGG
rnacentral:rRNA from 1 species